UACGUAGGGUGCAAGCGUUAAUCGGAAUUACUGGGCGUAAAGCGUGCGCAGGCGGUUGUGCAAGACAGAGGUGAAAUCCCCGGGCUUAACCUGGGAACUGCCUUUGUGACUGUACGGCUAGAGUGUGUCAGGAGGGGGGUAGAAUUCCACGUGUAGCAGUGAAAUGCGUAGAUAUGUGGAGGAAUACCGAUGGCGAAGGCAGCCCCCUGGGAUAACACUGACGCUCAUGCACGAAAGCGUGGGGAGCAAACAGG
rnacentral:rRNA from 1 species